GAAUGUUAAGAUUACCUAAUAUUAUUCAUUGGACCAGCCCGACAAAAGCAGUUGUUGAAACUUGAAAUGCAGAAAGAAUGCAAAAUGUCAAGGGAUUUCAUUCAUUAGAACACUUGCACAGUUACAAUGCAGUUAGAAACUAAACCCUUCUUUGAGAAACUAAUCUAAAGAAACAAGAAAAGAAAAAAGAAAAACAGAGAAAUGAACGAGAGUCUUUGAAGGUUAAAUCUUAAAUAAAAACUUAGUAUCGCCGCAUCCCUCAAUACAACUCACUUUCUCUUCC